rnacentral:rRNA from 1 species
UGGGGAAUUUUGCGCAAUGGGCGAAAGCCUGACGCAGCAACGCCGCGUGGAGGAUGAAGGUCUUUGGAUUGUAAACUCCUGUCAGCGGGGAAAAAGGGAGGCGACCUAAUACGUCGCCGACUUGAUUGUACCCGCAGAGGAAGCCCCGGCUAACUCUGUGCCAGCAGCCGCGGUAAUACAGAGGGGGCAAGCGUUAUUCGGAAUUAUUGGGCGUAAAGGGCGCGUAGGCGGCUUUGCAAGUGGCGGGUGAAAUCCCUCGGCUUAACCGAGGAACUGCCUGCCAGACUGUGAGGCUCGAGACCGGGAGAGGUGAGUGGAAUUCCCAGUGUAGCGGUGAAAUGCGUAGAUAUUGGGAGGAACACCAGUGGCGAAGGCGGCUCACUGGACCGGAACUGACGCUGAGGCGCGAAAGCGUGGGGAGCAAACAGG